GGUCCUGAGGUGUUAUCAUGUCGGAUUGCAAAUCCGAAGUCGCGGGUGACUCUCGCCGGGACUU
rnacentral:tRNA from 1 species